rnacentral:lncRNA from 10 species
CCUAGCACCCUCCCUCCAUUAGCAGUCCCUAACACCAGAUAUUGAAAAACAAAAAUAAAGCCCAAACUAAACAAACACAAAAGCGCUUUACUGAAGCUUCAGGGAAAAAUUCUACUGUCCUUGAUGGACUGAAAUGUACCACUUUUCUAGCAUUUUGCUUGUCCUCUCUACAUUGAGUCAUGUUAAGUUAUUGAAAGCAAAAGAAACUUAGGGUGAUAUAGGUUUGCUCUUCAAAAUACUUUUAUCUUUCACAAUUCUGUUCUGCUGUACUGCACACCACCUACUGUGGUACAAACCAAACAAAAAAGCCCAAAUUGUUAUUCUGUUUCCACACAUCCUU